AAGUCGUAACAAGGUUUCCGUAGGUGAACCUGCGGAAGGAUCAUUAACACUUUGUUCUUUUUUUUGUUGUUUCGGCUUUUAACCAAAGCUGAACCGCAAAAAAAACAAACAUCCAAUUACCCAACAUUUUGAAGCAGUGCUGGUAGGAUAGAACGUUUUUUACUAAAAAAACGUUUGUCCUCAAUUUCUCACCUAAUUUUUUUCACAACAAAACCCCAAACAACCAUUUAAACUAUUUUUUGAAACUCAAAAAAUAACUACUAACGUUAACCAAACAACUCUUAGCAACGGAUAUCUUGGCUCUC
rnacentral:misc_RNA from 1 species